GCUAGGAUGAACGCUAGCGACAGGCCUAACACAUGCAAGUCGAGGGGCAGCGCGGAGUAGCAAUACUUGGCGGCGACCGGCGCACGGGUGAGUAACACGUAUGCAACCAACCCAUAACAGGGGGGAUAACCCGGAGAAAUCCGGACUAAUACCGCAUAAGACCACGAUAUCGCAUGAUAUAGAGGUCAAAUAUUUAUAGGUUAUGGACGGCAUGCGUCUGAUUAGCUGGUUGGCGGGGUAACGCCCACCAAGGCAUCGAUCAGUAGGGGUUCUGAGAGGAAGGUCCCCCACAUUGGAACUGAGACACGGUCCAAACUCCUACGGGAGGCAGCAGUGAGGAAUAUUGGUCAAUGGGCGAAAGCCUGAACCAGCCAUGUCGCGUGAAGGAUGAAGGUCCUAUGGAUUGUAAACUUCUUUUGCAGGAGGGUAAAGUGAGCUACGUGUAGUUCAUUGCAAGUACCCUGCGAAUAAGCAUCGGCUAACUCCGUGCCAGCAGCAGC
rnacentral:rRNA from 1 species